GGAAAUCGGUGCAAUUCCGAUGCGGUGCCGCCACUGUAAUGAGGAGCUGGCAGCAGAGCUUGUUGUUUAACAAGCAGGACACUGGACUAUAAUCCGGGAAGUCUUCUGCCAAGCGAUGAAUCUAAGCCAGGAUAC
rnacentral:ncRNA from 2 species